GAUGAAGAACGCAGCGAAAUGCGAUAAGUAGUGUGAAUUGCAGAAUUCAGUGAAUCAUCGAAUCUUUGAACGCACAUUGCGCCCGCCAGCACUCUGGCGGGCAUGCCUGUCCGAGCGUCAUUUCAACCCUCAGGGCCCCUUCGGGGGACCUGGCGUUGGGGAUCGGCCCGCCCCCGUGCGGCGCCGUCCCCGAAAUAUAGUGGCGGUCUCGCUGCAGCCUCCCCUGCGUAGUAGCACACCUCGCACUGGAGAGCGGCGCGGCCACGCCGUGAAACCCCCAACUUCUGAAUGUUGACCUCGGAUCAGGUAGGAAUACCCGCUGAACUUAAGCAUAUCAAUAAGCGGAGGA
rnacentral:misc_RNA from 1 species